GAGUUUGAUCCUGGCUCAGAUUGAACGCUGGCGGCAUGCCUUACACAUGCAAGUCGAACGGCAGCAUGAUCUAGCUUGCUAGAUUGAUGGCGAGUGGCGAACGGGUGAGUAAUACAUCGGAACGUGCCCUGUAGUGGGGGAUAACUAGUCGAAAGAUUAGCUAAUACCGCAUACGACCUGAGGGUGAAAGUGGGGGACCGCAAGGCCUCAUGCUAUAGGAGCGGCCGAUGUCUGAUUAGCUAGUUGGUGGGGUAAAGGCCCACCAAGGCGACGAUCAGUAGCUGGUCUGAGAGGACGAUCAGCCACACUGGGACUGAGACACGGCCCAGACUCCUACGGGAGGCAGCAGUGGGGAAUUUUGGACAAUGGGCGAAAGCCCGAUCCAGCAAUGCCGCGUGUGUGAAGAAGGCCUUCGGGUUGUAAAGCACUUUUGUCCGGAAAGAAAUGGCUCUGGUUAAUACCUGGGGUCGAUGACGGUACCGGAAGAAUAAGGACCGGCUAACUACGUGCCAGCAGCCGCGGUAAUACGUAGGGUCCAAGCGUUAAUCGGAAUUACUGGGCGUAAAGCGUGCGCAGGCGGUUGUGCAAGACCGAUGUGAAAUCCCCGAGCUUAACUUGGGAAUUGCAUUGGUGACUGCACGGCUAGAGUGUGUCAGAGGGGGGUAGAAUUCCACGUGUAGCAGUGAAAUGCGUAGAGAUGUGGAGGAAUACCGAUGGCGAAGGCAGCCCCCUGGGAUAACACUGACGCUCAUGCACGAAAGCGUGGGGAGCAAACAGGAUUAGAUACCCUGGUAGUCCACGCCCUAAACGAUGUCAACUAGUUGUUGGGGAUUCAUUUCCUUAGUAACGUAGCUAACGCGUGAAGUUGACCGCCUGGGGAGUACGGUCGCAAGAUUAAAACUCAAAGGAAUUGACGGGGACCCGCACAAGCGGUGGAUGAUGUGGAUUAAUUCGAUGCAACGCGAAAAACCUUACCUACCCUUGACAUGCCACUAACGAAGCAGAGAUGCAUUAGGUGCUCGAAAGAGAAAGUGGACACAGGUGCUGCAUGGCUGUCGUCAGCUCGUGUCGUGAG
rnacentral:rRNA from 1 species